UUGGACUAAAUAUAAUUAGAC
rnacentral:piRNA from 1 species